rnacentral:lncRNA from 1 species
AGGGAUGUCAAUCGGGCCAGCCCAUCGGGUUUUCGGGCUAGCCCUAUCGGGUUCCGGGUUAAUCGGGUGCGGGCUAAUCGGGUUGGAGGUUUUUUCGGGUUGUAAAUCUCCAACCCUAACCCUAAACGUUCGGGUUUCGGGCUAGCCCAUCGGGUUGGAGGUUUUAAAGGUGUAAAAAUAAAAUUAUUAUUUGUAUUACAUUAUUCCUAAUGAUCUAAUGUAUAAUGUAUAAAAUAUACAUAAAUAUUAAAUAUAUAAAGUCUAAAUGUUUGAGUAACACUCUUCUUCAACGUUAAUAACAUUCGGUGCUCCAACUUGAUCCAUGUUUUCUUGCUCAUCAUCUUCACCAUCUAUUAAAAGAAAAUAAUAUAAUUAAAGCAUAAUAUAGUUCGUUUUCAUGAUAGGGAAUUCAAAAUGGUGAACAGACCUAAGUGGAAUUACAGUUAACCUCUAGUUCCAACAGCAUCACUUGAAUUCAAAUCUAAAGUAAUCGAGAUGACUAAGAUGAGUUAUAAACAAGCUGUACAUGAGAGAAAAUUGAUGAAAGCAAUCUACAACAGCCACAUAGAAAACAGAGAUGACAUAUAUAUUCCUUAGUUUCUAUGACCUUUUAUGAAGCAGUUGAUAUUGGUGGACCUGAAACAUAACCAUCCAUACAAAAUGAUGGGCCAGAACGAGGAGAAAGAGACAAAGCCACACAAAAAGAGAAACACUCAGUAAAUUAAAACAUCUGAUUCCAUUAAGUCCAAAGAAUCUCUCUAAACCAUUAAAACCAGAAGCAAUAACCGUGUAACUAUCCCAUAAAAGCAGGUGCAGAAUUCAAACAAGAAAAACACAAUAGAACCAAAGGUAAAAUUAGUACCCAGAUCUACGAAAUUCAAGACAGCGAUCCUCCAAAUCUUUCACGAACACCAA